AGAGUUUGAUCAUGGCUCAGAACGAACGCUGGCGGCGUGGCUAAGACAUGCAAGUCGUACGAUACGUUGUAGCAAUAUGGCGUAUAGUGGCGGACGGGUGAGUAAUGAAUAGGUAACGCACCCCGGGCACAGGGAUAACGUCGGGCGAAAGCCCUUUGCGAAAGUGACGGUAAUACCUGGUGACGCCCUCGAGUGGCAUCGCUUGAGGAUCAGAGGUGGGGACCUUCGGGCCUACCGGCCUGGGAGCGGCCUAUUUCCUAUCAGCUUGUUGGCGAGGUAACGGCUCACCAAGGCAACGACGGGUAACCGGACUGAGAGGUUGGCCGGUCACAUCGGGACUGAGACACUGCCCGGACAUCUACGGAUGGCUGCAGUAACGAAUAUUCCGCAAUGGGCGCAAGCCUGACGGAGCGACGCCGCGUGGAGGACGAAGUCCUUCGGGAUGUAAACUCCUUUUAGGGUUAGGAAAGCAGAGCGCGCUAAUACCGCGCCGCGCUGAUCCAUCCCAGAAAAAGCAUCGGCUAAUCCCGUGCCAGCAGCCGCGGUAAUACGGGAGAUGCGAGCGUUGUUCGGAAUCACUGGGCUUAAAGCGCGUGUAGGCGGCUCGGUAAGUACCUUGUGAAAUCCCACGUCUCAAACGUGGAACUGCUUGGUGUACUGCCGUGCUCGAGGUUGGUA
rnacentral:rRNA from 1 species